rnacentral:rRNA from 1 species
UACGGAGGGUGCGAGCGUUGUCCGGAAUCAUUGGGCGUAAAGGGCGCGUAGGUGGCCCGGUCAGUUCGUGGUGAAAGCGCGGGGCUCAACCCUGCGUCGGCCAUGAAUACUGCCGCGGCUGGAGCACUGUAGAGGCAGGCGGAAUUCCGGGUGUAGCGGUGGAAUGCGUAGAGAUCCGGAAGAACACCGGUGGCGAAGGCGGCCUGCUGGGCAGUUGCUGACACUGAGGCGCGACAGCAUGGGGAGCAACAGG